UAGUGGCCAGAUCAGUGCCUGUCUUAGUAACUAAAAUAUUAAAUAACUACUAACAACACCAAGACUUUAUCUCGGGAACCGAGACAAACAUUUAUUCACUGAACUUUUUGAAGAACACUUGACUAUUUGACCAGCGUACCUACUGGAGUCUUAGAUUUUUGGGCAGUCAACUUAGAGUCUUGUACACUUGUGUGCCUCGUUACGGACCCGGAGUUGUUUGUAUGAGCUCAUCACUGCAAAGGGGAGGCCUUGGAGGCGUGAUACAUAUCACUGUUAAUGCACAAUGGCUAGCGGUACAUAUGAGCCACCAGCAGAGUCAGCCCAC